UACGGAGGGUGCAAGCGUUGUCCGGAUUUAUUGGGUUUAAAGGGUGCGUAGGCGGCUAAUUAAGUCAGCGGUGAAAUUCCACAGCUUAACUGUGAGAACUGCCAUUGAUACUGGUUGGCUUGAGUACAGAUGAGGUAGGCGGAACUGACAGUGUAGCGGUGAAAUGCUUAGAUAUUGUCAAGAACACCUAUUGCGAAGGCAGCUUACUAAACUGUAACUGACGCUGAGGCACGAAAGCGUGGGGAUCAAACAGG
rnacentral:rRNA from 1 species